rnacentral:lncRNA from 1 species
AUGCACGGGGAAAAAGACCAGGCAGAAUUCUUUCGGAGCCGGCGUUGGAGCAGAGGCCGGCAGGCCGUUGCCCUUGGUGACGGCAGAGACAGUGUCAUUGGCCGGAGGGUGUUGAGACAGGGGCCGUUCCCGAAAGAGCCCCGGACCUGGAGCCUGCCCCCUUCCUCCAGCAACUCCAUUGCUUUCCACCUGCCGCCUUGUCUUCUCACCUGGACCUUUCCCUGUGACCUCUGGAGCUCUGGACACCAUGGGCCCUUGCCCCCUCUUUAGGAUUUCAGAAAGCUUCCUGGAACAUCCAAGACAGGCAGCUAUGCAAUGAAUCCAGUUUGGACACGGGUUUUAUUUGGCCUGCAUCUUUAAAAAAAUGUGCACCUGUACUGUGAAAAGAGGAGGUUGCGUGCAGAGAGCAGAGCUGCGGGCCGGGCCCUGAGCCAAGUGCUGGGAGUGCAGGGGGAGGAGGGCAGAGGCAGAGGCAGACCGAUGGCAGGCACCAAUGGCAGACCAAUGGCAAGCAUUG